AAGUCGUAACAAGGUUUCCGUAGGUGAACCUGCGGAAGGAUCAUUAACACGUAUCCAAACGUAAAAAACCCCCCCCGUGAACAUUCAAUCCUGCUCUUGUAACCCGCGUAGUUCGCAAUCUCUGGUAAAUCAUAGCCCGGAAAGUAGUUUUGAUUCAGAGACCUCUGGCUACGUGAGAACAUUGGAACAGUUACAAUCGAGCGGUAGUUUCAUAGGCAUUGUUUCCCCAAGCAGUCAGUGUCUGAAAGUGUCACUGAUUGUGCAACCGUACACUCGGGCAGGAGCUAUGCCAAAGGGUCCCCAUGCCCCCUUAUAACCCCACAGUUUAAUGUGAAGCUCAAUGUAAUACAUUGGGUAAAAAAACCGAACAACUGUUAACAAUGGAUAUCUUGGUUCUC
rnacentral:misc_RNA from 1 species